AACAGAUUUACUUCGGUAAUGACGUUGGGAAAGCGAGCGGCGGAUGGGUGAGUAACACGUGGGGAACCUGCCCCAUAGUCUGGGAUACCACUUGGAAACAGGUGCUAAUACCGGAUAAGAAAGCAGAUCGCAUGAUCAGCUUUUAAAAGGCGGCGUAAGCUGUCGCUAUGGGAUGGCCCCGCGGUGCAUUAGCUAGUUGGUAAGGUAAAGGCUUACCAAGGCGAUGAUGCAUAGCCGAGUUGAGAGACUGAUCGGCCACAUUGGGACUGAGACACGGCCCAAACUCCUACGGGAGGCAGCAGUAGGGAAUCUUCCACAAUGGACGCAAGUCUGAUGGAGCAACGCCGCGUGAGUGAAGAAGGUUUUCGGAUCGUAAAGCUCUGUUGUUGGUGAA
rnacentral:rRNA from 1 species